AAACGGGUGGUAAUGCCGGAUGCUCCACAUGAACACAUGUGAUUGUGGGAAAGAUUUAUCGGUAUGGGAUGGGGUCGCGUCCUAUCAGGUAGUUGGUGGGGUAAUGGCCUACCAAGCCUACGACGGGUAGCCGGCCUGAGAGGGCGACCGGCCACAUUGGGACUGAGAUACGGCCCAGACUCCUACGGGAGGCAGCAGUGGGGAAUAUUGCACAAUGGGCGCAAGCCUGAUGCAGCGACGCCGCGUGCGGGAUGACGGCCUUCGGGUUGUAAACCGCUUUUGUUAGGGAGCAAGCGUAAGUGAGUGUACCUUUCGAAUAAGCACCGGCUAACUACGUGCCAGCAGCCGCGGUAAUACGUAGGGUGCAAGCGUUAUCCGGAAUUAUUGGGCGUAAAGAGCUCGUAGGCGGUUUGUCGCGUCUGGUGUGAAAGUCCAUCGCUUAACGGUGGAUCUGCGCCGGGUACGGGCAGGCUAGAGUGUGGUAGGGGAGACUGGAAUUCCCGGUGUAACGGUGGAAUGUGUAGAUAUCGGGAAGAACAC
rnacentral:rRNA from 1 species